rnacentral:snoRNA from 1 species
AACAUGGGAUCCAACCUAGACCUCCAGCUGUCCCCCAUCAGGCCCCAGUAGGCUGUGUUGGGCAAAAGGGCCACUGACACUCUGUGAUGUCCCCAUUCUGGUCCUCUGGCAAACUCUGGAAAGACGCCUUGGUUGGCAUCCAACGACUUAGUCGCAGAAAGCUUUGAUGGUGGGGAGUGCUAGUAUCUGUGGUUAUGAUGUGAUCCUUUCAAG